UACGUAGGGUCCGAGCGUUGUCCGGAAUUACUGGGCGUAAAGAGCUCGUAGGUGGUUUGUCGCGUUGUUCGUGAAAACUCACAGCUCAACUGUGGGCGUGCGGGCGAUACGGGCAGACUUGAGUACUGCAGGGGAGACUGGAAUUCCUGGUGUAGCGGUGGAAUGCGCAGAUAUCAGGAGGAACACCGGUGGCGAAGGCGGUUCUCUGGGACGGUACUGACGCUGAGACGCGAAAGCGUGGGGAGCGAACAGG
rnacentral:rRNA from 1 species